CUUCCAGGCUAUGGGCCGGCCCGGCUGCAUUUACCUUUUGGCUUGGUUCACUGUUCACCAGCCACGCGGUCCAGGUCGCCGCCGGCUGCUUGCUAGCACCCCGGGCCGCCAGGGACAGCUAGAGCUCACUCGGAACCAAGCCUUUCUGCUGCUCCUGAGCUUCGACUUCCUCGCGCCCUGGAGCCCACUUCACUCAGCUCGCCGCCGCCCAGAGUUGCAAAGUGCGACGCGCACAGGAGCGCAGGUCCCUAGGGAGAUCCAGGAAUUUACCAAACCCAAAUGGCAGCAGGCCGCACCCGAGGUUUGGCGGGUUCCUUCUCCUUGUCUUGGAGAAGGAGCCACCAAGCGGAGAGCCUGAGCUAGGACCCCGUGUCUAGCGCGCUUCCUCUCGCCUCCGGUCCUACACUUGUGAUGUCCCCAGAUGUCUCUUUAGUUUCUCCAAGUGCCAACCACUUCACCGACUCAGGCAUCUUUGAGGGAAGAAACCCCCUUCCCAGCCCAGCCACUUAACGAGUGUCAUUAUGGUGCUACCUCUUACAGGUGGCAGCAAAGGACCACUUUAAAUAGCGGGUUAAAUGGCUACACAUGUACAGAAUGUACCAUGGAAUUACCCGGUGUCGGUCUGGCCUUCUGCCAAGAACAGUCAUCGUGGCGGGUAGGGCAGGAGGCCAUGGAUUGUGGAGUUGAAGAAUCUUGCCAGUCCUUAUUCAGAGUCUUUGAGAAGGCAUUUACUGUGCUUCAUCCCUUUCUGGUUUGAGCUAUGUGAUAUCUCCUCUCAUUUCCAGCCUCUUAUGUAUCAAUACCAUCCUCACACAUGAUGUUGAUACUCACGUGAUGAAGAAUAUCACAUGCUCAUCUCCUUCAGGUUCUACACAAUAAAAAUGCUGAAAACAGAAGGAAGAAGCAAAAAUAA
rnacentral:lncRNA from 1 species